rnacentral:rRNA from 1 species
GUGGGGAAUCUUGCGCAAUGGGCGAAAGCCUGACGCAGCCAUGCCGCGUGAAUGAUGAAGGUCUUAGGAUUGUAAAAUUCUUUCACCGGGGACGAUAAUGACGGUACCCGGAGAAGAAGCCCCGGCUAACUUCGUGCCAGCAGCCGCGGUAAUACGAAGGGGGCUAGCGUUGCUCGGAAUUACUGGGCGUAAAGGGCGCGUAGGCGGACAGUUUAGUCAGAGGUGAAAGCCCAGGGCUCAACCUUGGAAUUGCCUUUGAUACUGGCUGUCUUGAGUACGGGAGAGGUGAGUGGAACUCCGAGUGUAGAGGUGAAAUUCGUAGAUAUUAGGAAGAACACCAGUGGCGAAGGCGACUCACUGGCCCGUUACUGACGCUGAGGCGCGAAAGCGUGGGGAGCAAACAGGAUUAGAUACCCCGGUAGUCC